rnacentral:lncRNA from 1 species
AAUGCAGUGGCAACCGAGGACUUGAUAGUCAAAGGCGGCAAAGUUGGUGGUGUGGUGACCAACUGGGCGUUGGUGUCAAUGAAUCACGAUACACAGUCUUGCAUGGACCCCAAUGUAAUGGAAGCGAAGGUGGUUGUGAGCUCUUGUGGCCAUGAUGGGCCUUUUGGGGCCACUGGAGUAAAGAGGUUGAAGAGUAUCGGAAUGAUCGAGGAAGUGCCUGGAAUGAAGGCACUGGACAUGAACUCUGCAGAAGAUGCUAUUGUGAGGCUGACCAGGGAGGUUGUGCCUGGUAUGAUAGUUACCGGCAUGGAAGUUGCCGAGAUUGAUGGUGCUCCUAGAAUGGUACAUAUGCUUACGACUCUGUUUCUUAGCAGCCUUAGAUUAAGAAAGUUGCUGCUCUUCAAUCUCAAAACGGUUUCUUUUAUACUGUUUUAUAAUGUUUACAAGUAAGUAGCAAAUGUAAUAAUCUGAAUGCAG